GGCCUUGUGAACCGAUCAGCCAAUGGUGACUCAACAUCUGAACUGCACAGACAGGCAACUCGUGAUCUUGAGUCAGCUGUCUCUGCCUGGCACUCCAGUUUCUGCCACCUAAUAAAGUUCCAGCGGGACUUUAUACAAUCUGUCCAUGGUUGGUUCAAGCUCACCCUUGUUCCUGUGAGCAAUGACAAUGCAAAUGGUAAUGUGGAACACUCCGAUGCAUAUGCAUUCUGUGAUGAGUGGAAGCAUGCUCUUGACCGUGUGCCAGAUACAGUUGCUUCUGAAGCCAUCAAGAGCUUUAUCAAUGUUGUUCACGUGAUCUCUGUAAAACAGACUGAGGAGCUUAAAAUUAAAAAAAGAACUGAAAGUGUAUCAAAAGAGCUGGAGAAGAAGGCUUCUUCUCUUCGGAACAUUGAAAGGAAGUUCUAUCACUCAUACUCCAUGGUUGGCAUUGGGCUUCCUGAUACUGGAUCUAAUAACGGGCAGGUAUUGGAUG
rnacentral:misc_RNA from 1 species